UGGGGAAUUUUGGACAAUGGGGGAAACCCUGAUCCAGCCAUUCCGCGUGAGUGAAGAAGGCCUUCGGGUUGUAAAGCUCUUUCGGCAGGAACGAAACGGUUUGGGCUAAUACCCCAGACUACUGACGGUACCUGAAGAAGAAGCACCGGCUAACUACGUGCCAGCAGCCGCGGUAAUACGUAGGGUGCGAGCGUUAAUCGGAUUUACUGGGCGUAAAGCAUGCGCAGGCGGCGGUUCAAGUCAGGUGUGAAAUCCCCGAGCUUAACUUGGGAAUUGCGCUUGAAACUAGAUCGCUAGAGUACGGCAGAGGGGGGUAGAAUUCCACGUGUAGCAGUGAAAUGCGUAGAGAUGUGGAGGAACACCGAUGGCGAAGGCAGCCCCCUGGGCCUGUACUGACGCUCAUGCAUGAAAGCGUGGGGAGCAAACAGGAUUAGAUACCCCAGUAGUCCCUGAGCGGGC
rnacentral:rRNA from 1 species